rnacentral:rRNA from 1 species
AGCAGCCGCGGUAAUUCCAGCUCCAAUAGCGUAUAUUAAAGUUGUUGCAGUUAAAAAGCUCGUAGUUGAAUUUCGGGAUUGGCGCAUCGGUCGUGCCUUACGGGGUAUGAACUGGUGCAGUCAAUUUCUCACCUUCUGGAGAACCGCGAUGUCCUUAAUUGGGUGCCGCGGGGAACCAGGACCUUUACUUUGAAAAAAUUAGAGUGUUUAAAGCAGGCAUUUUUGCUUGAAUACAUUAGCAUGGAAUAAUAAAAUAGGACGGCAUGGUUCUAUUUUGUUGGUUUCUAGGACCACCGUAAUGAUUAAUAGGGAUAGUUGGGGGCAUUAGUAUUCAAUUGUCAGAGGUGAAAUUCUUGGAUUUAUUGAAGACUAACUACUGCGAAAGCAUUUGCCAAGGAUGUUUUCAUUAAUCAAGAACGAAAGUUAGGGGAUCGAAGACGAUCAGAUACCGUCGUAGUCUUAACCAUAAACUAUGCCGACUAGG